rnacentral:rRNA from 1 species
AUGUUUCAUUCAAAUUUCUGCCCUAUCAACUUUCGACGGUAGGGUAGUGGCCUACCGUGGUGGUAACGGGUGACGGAGGAUUAGGGUUCGAUUCCGGAGAGGGAGCCUGAGAAACGGCUACCACAUCCAAGGAAGGCAGCAGGCGCGCAAAUUACCCAAAUCCCAACUCGGGGAGGUAGUGACAAGAAAUAACGAUGCUCCGGCCAUCGGUCGGGUAAUCGGAAUGAGAACAAUUUAAAUCCCUUAUCGAGGAUCAAUUGGAGGGCAAGUCUGGUGCCAGCAGCCGCGGUAAUUCCAGCUCCAAUAGCGUAUAUUUAAGUUGCUGCGGUUAAAAAGCUCGUAGUCGGAUUUCGGGUGGCGCCUACCGGUCCGCCUUUGGUGAGUACUGGUAGGUACCACCUUUCUGCCGAGGACGGGGUACUGGGCUUAGUUGUCUGGGCCUCGGAGUCGGCGAUGUCACUUUGAGUAAAUUAGGGUGUUCAAAGCAGGCUUAUGCUCUGUAUACACUAGCAUGGGAUGACACGAUAGGACUUCGGUUUAUCUUGUCGGUCUGUAGAUCGGAGUAAUGAUUAAGAGGGACAGUCGGGGGCAUUCGUAUUUCGUAGUCAGAGGUGAAAUUCUUGGAUUUACGGAAGACGAACUUCUGCGAAAGCAUUUGCCAAGGAUGUUUUCAUUGAUCAAGAACGAAAGUCGGGGGCUCGAAGACGAUUAGAUACCGUCGUAGUCUCGACCAUAAACGAUG